rnacentral:rRNA from 1 species
CGAACGGGUGAGUAACACGUGGGCAACCUGCCCAAAAGAGGGGGAUAACACUUGGAAACAGGUGCUAAUACCGCAUAACCAUAGUUACCGCAUGGUAACUAUGUAAAAGGUGGCUAUGCUACCGCUUUUGGAUGGGCCCGCGGCGCAUUAGCUAGUUGGUGGGGUAAAGGCUUACCAAGGCAAUGAUGCGUAGCCGAACUGAGAGGUUGAUCGGCCACAUUGGGACUGAGACACGGCCCAAACUCCUACGGGAGGCAGCAGUAGGGAAUCUUCCACAAUGGGCGAAAGCCUGAUGGAGCAACGCCGCGUGGGUGAAGAAGGUCUUCGGAUCGUAAAACCCUGUUGUUAGAGAAGAAAGUGCGUGAGAGUAACUGUUCACGUUUCGACGGUAUCUAACCAGAAAGCCACGGCUAACUACGUGCCAGCAGCCGCGGUAAUACGUAGGUGGCAAGCGUUAUCCGGAUUUAUUGGGCGUAAAGGGAACGCAGGCGGUCUUUUAAGUCUGAUGUGAAAGCCUUCGGCUUAACCGGAGUAGUGCAUUGGAAACUGGGAGACUUGAGUGCAGAAGAGGAGAGUGGAACUCCAUGUGUAGCGGUGAAAUGCGUAGAUAUAUGGAAGAACACCAGUGGCGAAAGCGGCUCUCUGGUCUGUAACUGACGCUGAGGUUCGAAAGCGUGGGUAGCAAACAGGAUUAGAUACCCUGGUAGUCCACGCCGUAAACGAUGAAUGCUAAGUGUU